rnacentral:rRNA from 1 species
ACAUGUGGUUUAAUUCGAUGAUACGCGAGGAACCUUACCCGGGCUUAAAUUGCAGUGGAAUGAUGUGGAAACAUGUCAGUGAGCAAUCACCGCUGUGAAGGUGCUGCAUGGUUGUCGUCAGCUCGUGCCGUGAGGUGUCGGCUUAAGUGCCAUAACGAGCGCAACCCUUAUCUUCAGUUACUAACAGGUCAUGCUGAGGACUCUGGAGAGACUGCCGUCGUAAGAUGUGAGGAAGGUGGGGAUGACGUCAAAUCAGCACGGCCCUUACGUCCGGGGCUACACACGUGUUACAAUGGGGGGUACAGAAGGCAGCUAGCGGGUGACCGUAUGCUAAUCCCAAAAUCCUCUCUCAGUUCGGAUCGAAGUCUGCAACCCGACUUCGUGAAGCUGGAUUCGCUAGUAAUCGCGCAUCAGCCACGGCGCGGUGAAUACGUUCCCGGGCCUUGUACACACCGCCCGUCAAGCCAUGGGAGCCGGGGGUACCUGAAGUACGUAACCGCAAGGAUCGUCCUAGGGUAAAACUGGUGACUGGGGCUAAGUCGUAACAAGGUAGCCGUACCGGAAGGUGCGGCUGGAACACCUCCUUU